rnacentral:rRNA from 1 species
GGAGAAAAGCAGGGGAUCGCAAGACCUUGCGCGAAUGGAGCGGCCGAUGGCAGAUUAGGUAGUUGGUGAGGUAAAGGCUCACCAAGCCUUCGAUCAGUAGCUGGUCUGAGAGGACGACCAGCCACACUGGAACUGAGACACGGUCCAGACUCCUACGGGAGGCAGCAGUGGGGAAUCUUGGACAAUGGGCGAAAGCCUGAUCCAGCAAUGCCGCGUGAGUGAAGAAGGCCUUCGGGUUGUAAAGCUCUUUUGUCAGGGAAGAAACGGUGCGGGCUAAUAUCCUGCACUAAUGACGGUACCUGAAGAAUAAGCACCGGCUAACUACGUGCCAGCAGCCGCGGUAAUACGUAGGGUGCAAGCGUUAAUCGGAAUUACUGGGCGUAAAGCGUGCGCAGGCGGUUUUGUAAGUUUGUCGUGAAAUCCCCGGGCUCAACCUGGGAAUGGCGAUGAAGACUGCAAGGCUAGAAUCUGGCAGAGGGGGGUAGAAUUCCACGUGUAGCAGUGAAAUGCGUAGAGAUGUGGAGGAACACCGAUGGCGAAGGCAGCCCCCUGGGUCAAGAUUGACGCUCAUGCACGAAAGCGUGGGGAGCAAACAGGACUAGAUACCCUGGUAGUCCACGCCCUAAACGAUGUCUACUAGUUGUCGGGUUUUAAUUAACUUGGUAACGCAGCUAACGCGUGAAGUAGACCGCCUGGGGAGUACGGUCGCAAGAUUAAAACUCAAAGGAAUUGACGGGGACCCGCACAAGCGGUGGAUGAUGUGGAUUAAUUCGAUGCAACGCGAAAAACCUUACCUACCCUUGACAUGGACGGAAGCCACGAGAGAUCGAGGUGUGCUCGAAAGAGAACCGUCACACAGGUGCUGCAUGGCUGUCGUCAGCUCGUGUCGUGAGAUGUUGGGUUAAGUCCCGCAACGAGCGCAACCCUUGUCAUUAGUUGCUACGAAAGAGCACUCUAAUGAGACUGCCGGUGACAAACCGGAGGAAGGUGGGGAUGACGUCAAGUCCUCAUGGCCCUUAUGGGUAGGGCUUCACACGUCAUACAAUGGUACAUACAGAGGGCCGCCAACCCGCGAGGGGGAGUUAAUCCCAGAAAGUGUAUCGUAGUCCGGAUCGGAGU